GGGCACUGGUUGGCCAGGCCCAAGCUCGGGCCAACAGCUCCGGCUCCACUCCACAAGCUGAACUUGGUUUCGCACCGUCCCUUCCCCAGCCCCUUACAGGGGGAGUGCACCCUACUUGGGAAAUUACCGAAUUUCAGAACCGGGUGGAGCCUGAGAAAUCUUUUCAAACUUGUGCGAACUCUUCCCCAUUUUAUAAAUAAACAGGCUCAGAGAAAUAAUGGCACUUGCUGAAGGUCACACAGCCAAGUGGUGGCACACGGGUGGAACCCAGGGCCACAGACUGCAUCUCUAGGGAUCUCUCCACGCCUCUUAUCAAUCCCCCUCCCCCUGUCCACAUCGGAGAGCACCGGCAGCUCUGACCAGUCAUCACCUGCCCGGUGGAGUGCGGAACAGCCCGCCAGGGCCCUGCUGGGCACAGACCAGGCUUCAGUCACCUGGAGCUUUCCCUGGUUUGGCCGUCACCCGUCCACCCUGAUCUCUCCUGAGCCUGGGGAGCCCUCAUGGCAAGAUGUGAACACCAUGAGGACAAGGGCACUGUCUGCUACCCCAUGCUGGGAAGAUCCUUUAUACAUCCUCAGUGGCCAGAAGAAAUUAACAUACAGCACAAAAGAAUUAAGAUCAGGCUUCAGGAACAACAGCCAGACGGGGCUGGAAAACACUGACAAGAUCACGGAGUUCCUUUGGGAAAGGUUGGCCCACGCCUUGAACCUCCCUCGGUUUCCCCCUCAGUCUGUUCAGCUCCUGGCCAGCUCUCUUCUCCUCUCACCUUGGAGGGUCUCCCACCACCUUGCAGAACAUCAACACCCACCAAAUUCCCUUGCCUCUGUCCAAGGUCUCCACCCAGCCCAUGCGGGCAGAAUUUCAAAUUCCAAAAUAAAAACCCUCUGAUAACGAG